rnacentral:rRNA from 1 species
GCUCAGAUUGAACGCUGGCGGCAUGCUUUACACAUGCAAGUCGAACGGCAGCACGAAAGAGCUUGCUCUUUUGGUGGCGAGUGGCGAACGGGUGAGUAAUACAUUGGAACGUACCGAGUAAUGGGGGAUAACUGUCCGAAAGGAUGGCUAAUACCGCAUACGCUCUGAGGAGGAAAGCGGGGGACCUUCGGGCCUCGCGUUAUUCGAGCGGCCAAUGUCUGAUUAGCUAGUUGGUGGGGUAAAGGCCUACCAAGGCGACGAUCAGUAGUGGGUCUGAGAGGAUGAUCCGCCACACUGGGACUGAGACACGGCCCAGACUCCUACGGGAGGCAGCAGUGGGGAAUUUUGGACAAUGGGCGAAAGCCUGAUCCAGCCAUGCCGCGUGUCUGAAGAAGGCCUUCGGGUUGUAAAGGACUUUUGUCAGGGAAGAAAGGGUUUGGGUUAAUACCCUGAGCUUAUGACGGUA